rnacentral:lncRNA from 1 species
CUUCCAAUACUGUGUUGAAUAGGAGUGGUCAGAGAGGGCAUCCUUGUCUCGUGCUGGUUUUCAAAGGGAAUUUCCAGUUUUCUUUAUUAGUCUGGCUAGCAUAUUAUCUAUUUUGUUGAUCUUUUCAAAAAACCAGCUCCUGGAUUCAUUGAUUUUUUUGAAGGGUUUUUUCAUGCCUCUAUCUCCUUCAGUUCUACUCUGAUCUUAGUUAUUUCUUGUCUUCCGCUAGCUUUUGAAUUUGUUCUUGUUAGGGUGUUGAUUUUAGAUCUUUACUGCUUUCUCUUGUAGGCAUUUAAUGCUAUAAACUUCCCUCUACACACUGCUUUAAAUGUGUCCCAGAGAUUCUGGUACGUUGUAUCUUCGUUCUCAUUGGUUUCA